rnacentral:ncRNA from 1 species
UAAAGAUUGCUUUUAUAGAUUUAAAAUUUGAUUAUGAUUUGUAAUUAGUUAAAAUAAUAUUAUUUAAGUUUAAUUUAUUUAGUGGGCAAUGUAUAUUUACCCCGGUAAUUAGUUAUUUGUAUAAUACUUGUUCCAGAAUAAUCGGCUAGGCUAGUAAAAAUUUAUACUUUAUUUUGUUUUAAUUGCAAUUUUCGUUAAUAUUUUUAAUAAUUAUAGGUUAAAUUUUAAUUAAUUUUAGUAUAUUGUUGUAAUUUUAAGUUUUGAUAAACGAAUUAGAUUAGUACCUAAUUAGUCAAAAAUUAAAAAAGCAGGAGUAAAGUGGUAUUUAAACUGAAAGAAUAUUGGCAGAUUUUCUAAAUUAUCUUUGGAGGUUGAGUAAUAAUUGAGAACCCUCAUUAACUACUUUAGUUUUAGUCUCAUGUAUGAUCGUUUAUUUUAUACUUAAGGUAUAUAAUAAAAAAUUUUUAUUUAAUAAAAUAGAUAUAUAUUUGGUUUAUGUAAAAGUAAUAUUUGACCUACAAUAGGUUAAGCUGUGGAUUCAUAAUGUAGUUUUAUGAUUAAAAUGUAAAAGACAGUAAAAAAAUCUUUAUGUUUUUUUGAAGAUUAUUUAGAUGUGGUACAAAUCAUCCAUCAAUUGCCUAUAGGGGAGUAAGUUGUAGUAAAGUAGAUUUAGGGGAACCUUAAUCUAGUAAAU